CGAAUAUUUGGAAGUCCCAUACCCGAAGAUGAACUAACGAAACAACUGGAGACAUGUGAUAUUACCAUUAAAGGCGAUCCAAUCCUGUCAUUUGAUAACCUUGAUUCUCUUCAAUCAUCAGAUAUCGAAAUAACCAUACCAAGUUCAUGUGAUGCGUAUGACGACUGUUUAUCAUCACCAUGUAAUAAUCAUACCUGUAUUAAUGAACAAGGUAGCUUUACGUGUCAAUGUAAAGGUGGUUAUACAGGAACAACGUGUAAUAUUCCACCAGAUUACUGUCUAAAUAAUUUGUGUGAAAAUGAUGCCAUUUGUCAUAAUUCUCUAAUAACAAAGAAUUAUACCUGCAACUGUAAGCCAGGAUACAAAGGAAGACUGUGCUCUUAUAAAAUUGUUAAUGGUGGAUGGAGUGAUUGGAGUGAGUGGUCUCAAUGUUCUGUAACAUGUAAUGGUGGAAAUAAAACUAGACAAAGGACGUGUACCAAUCCAUCACCUGAUGAAGAUGGUUUAAACUGUACAGGAGGAUCUAUGG